GAAAGCCGUAUACAUUGAGAGGUGUACGUACGGUUUGGAGGGGAGUAUUUGGAGACCUACUAUAGAAAUAUAGCAAGGCGCUGGGUGCUUACCCUAC
rfam:Enterococcus avium ATCC 14025 genomic scaffold acpMO-supercont1.8, whole genome shotgun sequence.